AUGCUGUGUGCUGCGCCCAGUCAAUCCCACCGCACUUCCAUACUUGCACUACUAUUGCAGAUGCCCAGCCGGCUAACUGCCAUGGAUGAGGCGCCACACAUGAUUGAGGAUGACAUGGAGUACCGGUGCACCGCCGUCCGCGCUCGCCCAUUAUCGCCGGAGCCCACGCACGAUAUGCUCGCCUGUGGCCACCGUUUCCAUCCGAAUGAGAGUUUUCCACAUCAUUACCACGGCUGGCAGGUGCUGCUUUGUGGAGUUUUUACUCAACAUAAUUUUGAUCGUCCAUGCUAUUCGCGUAUAUUUGAAAAUUAA
rnacentral:rRNA from 1 species